rnacentral:rRNA from 1 species
GGAAUAUUGGACAAUGGGCGAGAGCCUGAUCCAGCCAUGCCGCGUGCAGGAAGACGGCCCUAUGGGUUGUAAACUGCUUUUAUACAGGAAGAAACACUCCCUCGUGAGGGAGCUUGCAGGUACGGUAGGAAUAAGGAGCGGCGAACUCCGUGGCAGCAGCCGCGGUAAUACGGAGGAUCCAAGCGUUAUCCGGAAUCAUUGGGUUUAAAGGGUCCGUAGGCGGGAUAAUAAGUCAGCGGUGAAAGUCUGUGGCUCAACCAUAGAAUUGCCAUUGAUACUGUUGUUCAUGAGUGUUUAUGAAGUGGUUAGAAUAUGUAGUGUAGCGGUGAAAUGCUUAGAUAUUACAUGGAAUACCGAUUGCGAAGGCAGAUCACUAAUAAAAUACUGACGCUGAUGGACGAAAGCGUAGGUAGCGAAC